rnacentral:rRNA from 1 species
ACCUACUCUUGACAUCCAGAGAACUUAGCAGAGAUGCUUUGGUGCCUUCGGGAACUGUGAGACAGGUGCUGCAUGGCUGUCGUCAGCUCGUGUUGUGAAAUGUUGGGUUAAGUCCCGCAACGAGCGCAACCCUUAUCCUUUGUUGCCAGCGAUUCGGUCGGGAACUCAAAGGAGACUGCCAGUGAUAAACUGGAGGAAGGUGGGGAUGACGUCAAGUCAUCAUGGCCCUUACGAGUAGGGCUACACACGUGCUACAAUGGCAUAUACAAAGAGAAGCGACCUCGCGAGAGCAAGCGGACCUCAUAAAGUAUGUCGUAGUCCGGAUUGGAGUCUGCAACUCGACUCCAUGAAGUCGGAAUCGCUAGUAAUCGUGGAUCAGAAUGCC